UACGUAGGGUGCGAGCGUUAAUCGGAAUUACUGGGCGUAAAGCGUGCGCAGGCGGUCUGUUAAGACCGAUGUGAAAUCCCCGGGCUUAACCUGGGAACUGCAUUGGUGACUGUCAGGCUUUGAGUGUGGCAGAGGGAGGUAGAAUUCCACGUGUAGCAGUGAAAUGCGUAGAGAUGUGGAGGAAUACCGAUGGCGAAGGCAGCCUCCUGGGCCAACACUGACGCUCAUGCACGAAAGCGUGGGGAGCAAACAGG
rnacentral:rRNA from 1 species